rnacentral:lncRNA from 1 species
UUUUUUUUUUUAAGGGAAGGGGGAAAAAAGCAAGAUGGCGACAGGCGAGAAGCAUCUCCACCCCUGAUUGGGGCACCUCCCACCCCCCACCCCCAGAGCGGCAGGCCGAAGUGGGGAGAUACUUUGAGUGGUCCAGAUCAGGCCCUCUCUGCUCUCCAGAUUCGUGUUCUUCCUGAAGAGGGCGAGCAUCAGAGAUCAGGAAAUAAAUGGCUUCUAUCCAUGCUGCUGGGUCUCAGGCAUCUUUGAUGUUCGAGGAUUUAGCUGUCUAUUUCUCCAGAGAGGAAUGUGUGAGUCUGAACCCUUCUCAGAGCCCUCUUUGCUGGGAAUCUGUGCCAAAGAAUUGCAAGGAUCUAAUCUCAUUUGGUAAGGCCUGCUGUAUUGAACAGUCCUGGUGCAUCAGAAAUUGCAGGGCAAUUUGGGAUCUGAACUUUAAUAG